GAUGAAGAACGCAGCGAAAUGCGAUAAGUAGUGUGAAUUGCAGAAUUCAGUGAAUCAUCGAAUCUUUGAACGCACAUUGCGCCUGCCAGCACUCUGGCAGGCAUGCCUGUUCGAGCGUCAUUUCAACCAUCAAGCCCUAGGCUUGCGUUGGAGCCCUGCGGCUGCCGCAGGCCCCUAAAAGCAGUGGCGGGCUCGCUAUCACACCGAGUGCAGUAGAUUACUCUUCGCUCAGGGCGUGUGGCGGGUUCCAGCCGUGAAACCCCUACUUCUCAAGGUUGACCUCGGAUCAGGUAGGAAUACCCGCUGAACUUAAGCAUAUCAAUAGCGGAGGA
rnacentral:misc_RNA from 1 species